rnacentral:rRNA from 1 species
AUUGAACGCUGGCGGCAGGCCUAACACAUGCAAGUCGAGCGGAGCGGCGGAUGGGUGAGGAAUGCCUAGGAAUCUGCCUGGUAGUGGGGGAUAACGUCCGAGACCGGGCGCUAAUACCGCAUACCAUCCGAUGAGCCUAGGUCGGAUUAGCUAUUUGGUGGGGUAAAGGUCGACCAAGGCCACGAUCCGUAACCGGUCUGAGAGGAUGAUCAGGCACACUGGAAAUGAGACACGGUCCAGACUCCUACGGGAGGCAGCAGUGGGGAAUAUUGGACAAGGGGCGAAAGCCUGAUCCAGCCAUGCCGCGUGUAUGAAGAAGGUCUUCGGAUUGUAAAGCACUUUAGGUUGGGAGGCGUUACCAACAGAAUAAGCACCGGCUAACUUCGUGCCAGCAGCCGCGGUAAUAC